UACGGAGGAUCCAAGCGUUAUCCGGAUUUAUUGGGUUUAAAGGGUGCGUAGGCGGAUUGAUAAGUUAGAGGUGAAAUGUCCGAGCUCAACUCGGGAACUGCCUCUAAUACUGUUGAUCUAGAGAGUAGAUGCGGUAGGCGAAAUGUAUGGUGUAGCGGUGAAAUGCUUAGAGAUCAUACAGAACACCGAUUGCGAAGGCAGCUUACCAAUCUAUAUCUGACGUUGAGGCACGAAAGCGUGGGGAGCAAACAGG
rnacentral:rRNA from 1 species